UGUAAUAUAUACUGUACAUGUAAUCACUUUUGUUCAUCCCUUCAUUCAAGGGUCAUAUGGAAUUUAUAUGAUGGAUUAGAACAUUAAUAAAAUGAUUAAAUACUUUUUUGUAGUCAUUUUUUUUUCUGGGAAAGUUUGUUGGUCUAGUUUUAAAAGAUCAAAGCAAGCCAAUUUUGCCAGAUCAAAAUAUUAAAGGCAAUUUUGGCAGAUACAUUGUAUUAUAACUUCAUUUUAUUAAACAUUAUUUAUUUUAGCUUUUUCAACGAAAGUACAUGUACAAUUACUUUGAGAAGUAGGAGAAGCUAAGCAACAGGACAGAAUUCAUUUGAGGCAUUGCUUUCUAGAUUAUAUAGUGGAGUCAUAGAUUGUCCUAUUGAUUUAUGUGGAUAUGAGGAGCAGUAGUCAAUGAAUAAUUUUGUGAUGAGAGAAUUAGCUCCUCAGAUGUAAGUGGAAGGGAAGCUAUAUACAUUAUAUGUUUAAAUGAAAUUAACAACAGGAUAAGAUAUUGAGGAGAUCCUAUAGCUACAGUAUAUAUAAAUGUAACUGCAACUGUAUUCCAAGAGUCUGAUGGCUGAUAAUGUAUUACAGGAUUUUAUCAUUCAAGCAACAUCUUAGAAGGAUAAGUGCAAAUGUAUGAAGGAAGCCUUGGGUACAAAUAGCAAUUACAGCAAUUACAUGCAGGAGAGAACUCUUAACAUUACUAACAGACAUGUAGUCAUUAUAUGGGAGUGGUGUAUUCAAGAAAUCUAAAACACAUGGAAUUAAAUAUCGUGUAUAUUUUUUCAACCACAAGUACUCUCAGAAUAUAAUACAAUUCAAAUUCAAAUUAUUGUGCCAACAUGACAAUUACAGUCUAAAAAUGGAAAAUGCAUGUUUUAAACUGAUUUUUAUAUAAAUAUUUGAAAUAACAAGAA